rnacentral:rRNA from 1 species
GCCAACUCUAGCCCUAAUCUCAUACAAUUAUAAUAACUAAACAUAAUAACCAAAUCAUUUACCCACUAUAAAAGUAUAGGAGAUAGAAAUUAUAUUCCAGGCGCAAUAGAUAUAGUACCGUAAGGAAAGACAAAAAAUCAACAAAGCACAAUAAAGCAAAGACAAACUCUUGUACCUUCUGCAUAAUGAAUUAACUAGAAAUAACUUUAUAUAGAGAACUUCAACAAUGCUCCCCGAAACCAAGCGAGCUACCCAAGGACAGCUAAAAGAGCACACCCAUCUAUGUGGCAAAAUAGUGGGAAAAUCUAUGGGUAGUGGCGACAAACCUACCGAGCCUGGUGAUAGCUGGUUGUCCAAGACAGAAUUUUAGUUCAACCUUAAAUUUACUUACAGAACUAUUUAAUCCUCCCGUAAAUUUAAUCGUUAGUCUAAAGAGGGACAGCUCCUUAGACCCUAGGAAACAACCUUUAUAUAGAGAGUAAAACGCCCCACCACCAUAGUUGGCCUAAAAGCAGCCAUCAAUUAAGAAAGCGUUCAAGCUCAACACUCACCUUUCCUUAAUCUCACUCAACAUACUGAACUCCUAAAGCACAUUGGACUAAUCUAUUACUUAAUAGAAGCAAUAAUGUUAAUAUAAGUAACAUGAAACUAUUCUCCCCGCAUAAGCUUAUCUCAGACCGAAACAACUACCGUUAGUUACCAGCUCAAUCAUUAUAUACCACAACCUAAUCAACCCAUUAAACAAACUGUUAACCCAACACAGGUAUGCAUCCAGGAAAGAUUAAAAAAAAGUAAAAGGAACUCGGCAAACUCUAACCCCGCCUGUUUACCAAAAACAUCACCUCUAGCAUUACUAGUAUUAGAGGCACUGCCUGCCCAGUGACACAUGUUUAACGGCCGCGGUACCCUGACCGUGCAAAGGUAGCAUAAUCACUUGUUCUCUAAAUAGGGACUUGCAUGAAUGGCCACACGAGGGUUUAACUGUCUCUUACUUUUAAUCAGUGAAAUUGACCUAUCCGUGAAGAGGCGGAUAUAACUAAAUAAGACGAGAAGACCCUAUGGAGCUUCAAUUUAAUAAUACAAACAAAUGCUCUAAACACCUACAGGCACUAACCCACCGUCAAUGUAUUAUAAAUUUUGGUUGGGGUGACCUCGGAGCACAGCACAACCUCCGAAAAACUUAUACCAAGACCUCACUAGUCUAAGUAAUUUACACUUAUUGACCCAAUAACUUGAUCAACGGACCAAGUUACCCUAGGGAUAACAGCGCAAUCCUAUUUUAGAGUUCAUAUCGACAAUAGGGUUUACGACCUCGAUGUUGGAUCAAGACAUCCUAAUGGUGCAGCCGCUAUUAAGGGUUCGUUU